rnacentral:rRNA from 1 species
GACGAACCGUGCGAACGUUGUUCGGAUUCACUGGGCUUAAAGGGCGCGUAGGCGGGCAUUCAAGUCAGGGGUGAAAUCUUUCGGCUUAACCGGAAAACAGCUUCUGAUACUGAGUGUCUAGAGGGAGGUAGGGGCAUGCGGAACUUCCGGUGGAGCGGUGAAAUGCGUUGAUAUCGGAAGGAACUCCGGUGGCGAAAGCGGCGUGCUGGACCUCCUCUGACGCUGAGGCGCGAAAGCUAGGGGAGCAAACGGG